UUAAAUAUCUUUCUCAUUUUCUUCGUAGGACGACCACGACCUAAUGCAUUAAUGGAAGUACAAAUGCCAGUGAUUAAGAACGCCGAAUGCAAAAUAGCUUAUUCCAAAUUUCCUAAUGCACCUGAUAUCACUGAUGGUAUAAUAUGCGCCGAACAUGCUCAGGGUGGAGAGGAUUCUUGUACGGUAUUGUGUCUUAUGCUUAUAAGUGUGGCACAGCUGGGUAUCCCAGCGUUUACACUAGGGUCACAUCGUACCUUGACUUCAUUCUCCAAGCGAUGCAAUAAUAUGAUAUUACUGUUCCAUAAAUAUCAUUGUGUAAAAAACGUAAAGUUGGAUUUUCUUAUUGUGGAGAUAAGAAACAGCUCAAAUUUACAUUGUUUUGUACGUUACAAAUUAUAGGCUUAAAAUGUACGAAAUGUAACUUUGAAACGACACUAAUUUUUUACGCACGAUAAACCUCCACGAUUUAGGUAUGUAAAGAUGAUAAACGUAUAUUAAUUCUAUUAAUUUGGUAAUAAUAAACCAACUUUCUGAGAAGUUCUGUAAAUUUCGUUUCUGUUGUAUCAAGAGAAUAAUGGAAUAUUCCACUUAGAUCGUAUACUUCUUGUAUGUACGUACAAAAUUUUCCGGCUAAUCUAAAACACUUCAUAAGAUAGAGAGCUUCUGGAAAUUCGGACACAGAGAGUGCAUAAAAUACAAGAUAAGUCUCGUGUCUUUCAAAAUUAUUUUUUAUUCGCUAAAAACGUCCUGUGUACUCAUGCAAUCACAUGCAACCUCGAAACUUCACUUAUUUUUUAUCACUUUCCAAUUCAAUACACAGUUUCUGCAUUUUUGACUAUAUGUAAGAGAAAUUUCCAUUCAGCCAAAGGUGUACUUACAGAUUAUAGAUUCCUAUACGACUCUCAGUAAAAAUUUAUCCGCACUCCAGAUAUAUAAAACUUCUGUCGACCGUAUUGAUCCAUCUGCACUCUUCGUAUGACGUCAAUAUCUGUUCAGUGCUGCUGCGCAGGUUUCUUUGUGUUACGUCAAUUCGUUUGUGACCGUUGCGCGAGUAAUGGCGCUUUGCAAUGGUGAUUUGCAGGAAAACAGUGCAGGAUGCUGUGAUUCGUUUCUUGUGGUCGGAGGUUAUGUUUGAUGCCUAUAUUUAUCAAAGAUUUAAUGCACAUUAUGGAGAAAGUGUUUUGUCACGAAGUGUGUUUGAAUGGGCACAAAAGUUCAAAGAAGAUCGCACAAGUGUUAUGAAAAAACAGCUGGACGCCCGUCCACAUCCACGAUGACAACAUUGAACGUGCUCAUGAACUUAUGCUCUAUGGAAUAGACGAGUGACACUGGAUAAUGUGGCAAAUCAUUUGCAAAUCAGCCACGGCUCUGCUUAUGCAAUAGUGCACGACAGAUUUGGAUUUUAAAAAGUUUGUGCGAGAUGGAUGCCGAAAAAGCUGAUGAAAAGGUGAAGACGACGAUGCAUUCGUGGUUCGCAGCUCAGCCCAAAACAUUUUUUAAUGAGAAAAUAUAAAGGUCCUUCGGCAAAUGGACAAAGUGUAUACAGAAAUCGAGUGAUUAUGUCAAAAAAUGAUGUAUGUCUUUUUUGACAAUUGCUUAAAAUAAAUUCUACACCGACAGAGCGGGCUGUUAAUCUAGAGGCUGGAGUACAAAGAAGUGGCACAAUGAUGUGGGCUGAUGACAUUUAUAAUUAUCAAGGAAUCACCCCUACAUUCGCUCAGAAUUUUAAUGAAACUGUCCCUUGGGAAGGAAGAACUGAUACCUUGAUAUCACGGUUUGUACAUCCUAUAUAUACGACAAAUUUUAGAACAUUAUAUAACGAAGAACCAGAUCGUCGUGGCCAUGUGAUGUGAAUAAAAGGACUUGAAUUUGAUGAUAUUUUUAUAAUGUUAGAUAACAUAACUAAGUAUCUUCACAGUAAGAUAGGAUGACAUGGUUUACAUGAUCUUAAUGUUGUUCACUCGAGUGAUGAUAUUAUAAGGAAAAGUGUAAUAUCACAGGAUAUUUAUGUUUAGUAACCAGUAAUUCAGAGAUUGGUAUUCAUGGUUACUAUAACGAGGCUGUAGAAACGCACCCUUUCUUCUUUGCAAAUGGUCCUGUAUUUAUGUCUAAGCCGAAACUGGAACCUCUGAAUAAUUUAGAUUUAUUCUUGUUAUUUUCUAAAAUACUUAUCUACAGUAUACCAUAAGGAAUGAUACCGUAUCGCACCUAAUCAAGUGCCUUAAGAAACAUCAACAGGAUAUCACAGUAAUCCCUUAUCGACUGAUAUUUGUAGCCACUACAAUAUCUAUGACACUGGUAGUAAUUAUGAGAACAAUAAUGAUGUGUUCUAUAAGAGGAAAUGAUGAUUAGGAACAAAAACUUACAGGAGAUAUCAUGCGGUGGAUGGAUAAUAUGUAAAAAAUAUUAAGCAGCAUAUGAAUUUUCAUAUUGCGUAGAGAUAACAAAAUGAAUUUUAAAAAAUGUCGACACGGUAAUAAGAAAUAGCAUCAUGACAAAGAAUAUAUAAAGACAGUUUCAUUUUUUAUAAAUAAAAAUUUGUUGUUCCAGAUUUUGAAA